AUAAUUUUCUAUUUCCUUUGAAACAAAAAUGGCUGACGAACUUCAAGAAAAUUUAGCAACAUAUAAAUUACAGUUACAGCAGGUGGAGGCAUCACUGACAACAGACCCGGAUAAUGAGGAUCUCAAUAAGCUUAAAAAAGAUCUCCAGGUGAGUCAAUGGUGGAACACACCUGUUCUCACUCAAGGUGUUAGUGGGUGGGGUUGGGUAUUACCUUAUAAUAUAUUGUAUCCAUCAGAAAAAAUAGAUGAUUGUCUGAAGUAUGUCUGAAUGUAAUACAAGUUUACAAGUAUUAUCAAGCAUUUCAAUUUUUUCAUCGAUAUGUGCAUAGACAGUUUCUAGACACAGUUUCAUGAAAAUUGUUACUUCUUUUCAUUUUUGUUUUGAGCAGUGGCAAAAAUUAACAAUUUAUUUUUUUUUUUUAAUAAAAUUUAAAGUCAUUUAAAAGAAAAUAAAACUGAUUAAAUCAAAUGUUAAUUAAUAUUCAUAUAAUUUGAAAUUCCAGACCUGAGAUCAGAUUUAAUUAAAGAGGGUUGGGCUCAAUAUAAGUGCUAAAGUAGUGGAUAUAUUAUCAAUCCAAAACAUCUUAAUGUGUAUAGAGUCUUAUAUUUUUAGACGAGUUCUUCAUGGAUUUUCUUGUAAUUCCGUUGUGUCAAGAGAAACCUGAUGAGUAAGUACAGAAGGGGGCUCAACUCUGUACCAAAGUUAGGGCUUCAUGGUACUUGUUUAAUUAGCAAUGUCAAGUUUGGCAUUGCAUAAAAAAAGAAAAUAUCAGAAACAGAGAUACUUUUGUACAAAAUCUUUGUAUAGAAUAAAACAGAUUUCAUUUUCGGUGUGUUAAUAUGUUCAGAAUGCUGUAUAAUUUGUAGGAAGUCAUUGAUCUGACGGAGGAUUUAGUCGGAAACAAGCAGUUGACAGCUAUCGCAGUCGAUGCCAGUGCCUCAGGAAGUGGUCUUGGAUCUUUACAGGACAUUGCGCCCGCAGAGUGGAAGGUGGGAGACCCCUGUCUGGCUGUGUGGUCCAAAGAUGGACAGUUGUAUGAAGCAAAGAUUGAUGAAAUACUGGAAGAUGGGACUUGUGCCAUCACUUUUGACAGCUAUGGAAACACAGAUGUAACUGAGGUCAAAUUAUUACGGAAGAUUGAUCCAUCUCAACAGAAAAAAGAUGCAGAUAAGAAGCCCAAGUCCAAACGAGAUCAAAUAGCAGAUCAGAAGGAAUACAGGAGAAAGAAGCAACAGAAGAAGGCUCAGCGCCUCAAGCAGAUGGAGGAAGAGAGGGAGACAGAGAAGAACAAAUGGCUGGACUUCAAUACAAAAACUUUCUCCAAAACGAACAAAGGCAAAGUUAAAAAGAGCAUCUUUGCCACCCCUGAUGCAGUCAACGGUAAAGUGGGGGUGGGGACUUGUGGACAGGGGGGUCGUCCCAUGACCUCCUUUCAGCAUGCAGAGAAGUGGAAGAAGUGAAAGUCUAUGUUGUACAGCAGCCAUUGUGUUUGUGACAUUGUUGCACAGGAGAUACAUGUAGAUGAUAAUGAAAGUUCUUUUAGGAGAGAAAGGGAGGUAAUUGUAAAUGAGGAAUGUAUUGUUUGGAUUUAUGGUCAAGUGACUGUGUGCAACUGACUUCAUUAUAUUUGUUCACAAUAAGCAUUCUUAUGGAGAUUGGUGCAUUUAAUAGGCACAUCAUUGUAUACAAUGUAUUCAAGUCAUGAAUACAUUUGUAAAAACAGGAAUGUACAGUAAAUAUAAGCUGAACUGAUUGAUCCCUGUAUAAAAUUUUAUUUUGUGAAGAAUUAUCAUUUUCAUUAAUAACAAAAAGUUUGUUUUAAGUUAAGUAUGCAUUUUAUUUCCUAGCAAAUAACAUUAAUCCCUGAGAAAGGGUGGAGUAACAAUGAAUUUUAUUUACUUAACCUUGCAAAUUUACAUCAUGUACUAAGAAUUUGUAUGAUUUUUUUUUAUUUGUUUCCAUCAUUUUACAAAAUAAAAUCUUUUAUAACUUU
rnacentral:misc_RNA from 1 species